UCUGCCCUUCACUCUGGGACAAGCCCUGGAAACGGGGUCUAAUACCGGAUAACACUCCUGCCUGCAUGGGCGGGGGUUAAAAGCUCCGGCGGUGAAGGAUGAGCCCGCGGCCUAUCAGCUUGUUGGUGAGGUAACGGCUCACCAAGGCGACGACGGGUAGCCGGCCUGAGAGGGCGACCGGCCACACUGGGACUGAGACACGGCCCAGACUCCUACGGGAGGCAGCAGUGGGGAAUAUUGCACAAUGGGCGAAAGCCUGAUGCAGCGACGCCGCGUGAGGGAUGACKGCCUUCGGGUUGUAAACCUCUUUCAGCAGGGAAGAAGCGAAAGUGACGGUACCUGCAGAAGAAGCGCCGGCUAACUACGUGCCAGCAGCCGCGGUAAUACGUAGGGCGCAAGCGUUGUCCGGAAUUAUUGGGCGUAAAGAGCUCGUAGGCGGCUUGUCACGUCGGUUGUGAAAGCCCGGGGCUUAACCCCGGGUCUGCAGUCGAUACGGGCAGGCUAGAGUUCGGKAGGGGAGAUCGGAAUUCSUGGUGUAGCGGUGAAAUGCGCAGAUAUCAGGAGGAACACCGGUGGCGAAGGCGGAUCUCUGGGCCGAUACUGACGCUGAGGAGCGAAAGCGUGGGGAGCGAACAGGAUUAGAUAYYCUGGUAGUCCACGCCGUAAACGGUGRGCACUACGUGUGGGCACAUUCCACGUUGUCCGUGCCGCAGCUAAYGCAUUAAGUGCCCCGCCUGGGGAGUACGGCCGCAAGCUAAACUCAAGGAAGUGACGGGGGGCCCGCACGAGCUGCGGAGCAUGUKGCUUAAUUCGACGCACGCGAGAACUUACUAUGCUGACU
rnacentral:rRNA from 1 species